UUACGGCUAUAUCACGUUGAAACGCCGGUUCCCGUACGAUCACCGAAGUUAAGCAACGUCAAGCCUGCUCAGUAUCUAGAUGGCUUGGGAAUACCAGGUGACGUAGG